ensembl:sense_intronic Gm12737 predicted gene 12737
GUUUGUGUGAGAGUACCAGAUCUCCUAGAACAAGGGUUACAGACAGUUGUCACCUGCCAUGUGGGUGCUGAGAAUUGAAGAAUUGAAUUUCUUGAAAGAGCAGCCAAUGCUCUUAACUGCUGAGCCAUCUCUCUAGCCCCGUAGUUACAGUAAAAUAGAGCAUAUAAAAAUAUAAGAAUGCAUCAGUGCUCUAUUUGUAGUUGGCACUAUUUCUUUAUGCAUAAAAUGAUUUAUCUGCUAUUACGAAAUUCAGAUUAGCAAAACAGUAUGUGUGUGUAUGUAAAUGGUUUGGGUUUUUUUGUUUUAUUUGUUUUGUUUGUUUUUCUUGCUUCUGCCUCCUGAGUGCUGGGAUUAAAGGUGUGUGCCACCACACCCGGCUGGUUUAGUUUUUAAAAAUUUUAUGUGUAUGAGUAUUUGAUUGCAUGUUUGUAUAUGCACUACAUGUGUGCUUGGUGCCUAAGAGGCCAGUAGACGUUUGUUUGUUCCCCUGGGGCUGGAGUUACAAAUAGUUUUGAGCUGUUUUGUGGGUUCUAGGAAUCAAGUCCAGGUUCUCUGCAAGACCACCACUCUUUAAUCCUGAGCCACCUCUCCAGUCCCCUUUGUAUAAUUUGAGCCAGAGUUUAUGGCUAUGUAAAUGUCUAAGCUAAUAUUUGAGGGAAACUUUUUAGGUAUACAUAGUAACAAUGAGGGUACAUGUAUAUUCCUUAAACGUGUGCU